GCGAAUUCGCCCUUCGGGGUGCACCAGGCGCGAAAACUUUACAAUGCGGGAAACCGUGAUAAGGGGACACCGAGUGCCAGCAUCAUAUGCUGGCUGUCCAGGUGUGUAAAAUACACCUGUCAGCAAGGGCCGGGCAAGACCGGUGCCAGCCGCCGCGGUAACACCGGCGGCCCGAGUGGUGAUCGUGAUUAUUGGGUCUAAAGGGUCCGUAGCCGGUUUGGUCAGUCCUCCGGGAAAUUUGACGCUCAACCGUUAGGCUUUCGGGGGAUACUGCCAGGCUUGGAACCGGGAGAGGUAAAAGGUACUACAGGGGUAGGAGUGAAAUCUUGUAAUCCCUGUGAGACCACCUGUGGCGAAGGCGUCUUACCAGAACGGGUUCGACGGUGAGGGACGAAAGCUGGGGGCACGAACCGGAUUAGAUACCCGGGUAGUCCCAGCCGUAAACGAUGCUCGCUAGGUGUCAGGCAUGGCGCGACCGUGUCUGGUGCCGCCGGGAAGCCGUGAAGCGAGCCACCUGGGAAGUACGGCCGCAAGGCUGAAACUUAAAGGAAUUGGCGGGGGAGCAC
rnacentral:rRNA from 1 species